UACGGAGGAUGCGAGCGUUAUUCGGAUUUAUUGGGUUUAAAGGGUGCGUAGGCGGGCUGUUAAGUCAGCGGUCAAAUGUCGGGGCUCAACCCCGGCCUGCCGUCGGAACUGGGUGCCUUGAGUGGGCGAGAAGUAUGCGGAAUGCGUGGUGUAGCGGUGAAAUGCAUAGAUAUCACACAGAACUCCGAUUGCGAAGGCAGCAUACCGGCGGCGAUCUGACGCUGAGGCACGAAAGCGUGGGUAUCGAACAGG
rnacentral:rRNA from 1 species